CUUCUAAUGAAUUAUUUUCUAAUUACAGGGGGUGGAUAUGAACCAGAAGACUAUUUAAAAUCAUCGAAGACGAUGAAGCUGGCAUACGUUGUGUUCAUUGCUAAGAGUGCACUGUAUGGCCUUGUCAUCUUUGUGUUCGUGUUGAGAAAGGGUUCAUGUGGAAAGUGAAUGAACAAAACAUAUCUGGAUUGUUGGAGUUGCCAAGAAAACUUCAUUUUCUCCAACCAUAAGAGAUGCUGUUUAUAUAACUGAAGAGUCUAUUAUUUUAUUUUAUUUUCUGAGUGUUUAUUCCAAUGAAAGCCUGCAUAUACUUCAGAUCAGAUUAAUCAUAAAAAUCUACUUUUUGAUUAUAUAUUAUUCUUUUGCUUGUUUCCUUGCUACUGUGUUUAGUGUUAAUUUCAUAGAAUUCUAAAAGAGACUUUACAGAGAUGAAUAUAAUUCA